UAGGGUGAAAUCUAUGAGAUAUUUCUUUUACAAUGAAAAAUAGCUGGUUAGCCGCUCUAA
rnacentral:tRNA from 1 species